GUUAAGUGACUAAGCGUAUACGGUGGAUGCCUUGGCAGUUAGAGGCGAUGAAGGACGUGUAAGUCUGCGUUAAGCUGUGGUGAGCCGACAAAAUGCAUUUGAGCCACAGAUGUCCGAAUGGGGAAACCCACCUGUU
rnacentral:rRNA from 1 species